rnacentral:tRNA from 1 species
UCCCUGGUAGCUCAGCCGGUAGAGCGUGCGGCUGUUAACCGCAAUGUCGCAAGUUCGAGUCUUGCCCAGGGAG